UACAGAGGUCUCAAGCGUUGUUCGGAUUCAUUGGGCGUAAAGGGUGUGUAGGUGGCGCCGUAAGUCGGGGUGUGAAAUUUCGGAGCUUAACUCCGAAACUGCAUUCGAUACUGCGGUGCUUGAGUGCGGAAGAGGGUCGUGGAAUUCCCAGUGUAGAGGUGAAAUUCGUAGAUAUUGGGAAGAACACCGGUGGCGAAGGCGGCGCCUGGUCCGUGACUGACGCUGAGGCGCGAAAGCGUGGGGAGCAAACAGG
rnacentral:rRNA from 1 species